ensembl:antisense Gm43255 predicted gene 43255
AUAUACGAAACACACUACUACAGCAGCCUAUGAGAGGAGACAGGGCUGAUUGCUUUGCAAUGGGUAACCAGUUAGUGUGUGCUUCCCCGGAGAAGACCACCUCUCCUGCUCCCAGUUUCCUUCAAUUGCCUGUAGUUUGUUGUGUAGGGAUGAGACCUUGUAUGGAGAGCACAGUCACAAUGCCAGCUUUCUUCCUGCUGAGCUUCAUUGCUGCAGCUUUGGAUUCUACAAGACCUGUCUCACUCUGAAGCCUAGGCUGACCUACGGUCAUGCCUCCACCUCUGCCUACUGAGUGUGAGAAACACGGGCAUCAGCCAUCACACCUGGUUUUAUUUGAGGUAAAUCAAGUCUUUGUUCUUGGGAAGCAGACAAGCACAGAUACAAUGUGUAUCAAGAAUAGAUAUGGAGGUUUGAACGGCAGUGGGCACAUAGGGCUUCAAAACUGUGUUGAGCAAUUCAGGCUUAGAUCAACAGUUAAUUAAUGGGACCUCAUGAAACCAAAAGGCUUCUAUAGGGCAAAGAGCACUGUCAAAGGGACAAAAUGGCAGUUUGCAGAAUGGGGAAGCUCUUUGCUAACCCUACAUUUGACAGAGGGCUGAUACCCAAAAUAUACCAAGAACUCAAGAAAAUAGACAUCAACAAAUGAAAUAAUCCAAUUAAAAAUUGGGGUACAUUGUUAAACAGAGAAUUCUCAGCAAAGGAAUGGCUGAGAUGCACUUAAAGAAAUGUUCAAUAUCCUUAGUCAUCGGGGUAAUUCAAAUCAAAGACUCUGAGAUUUCAUCUUACAGCCACCAGACUGGCUAAGAUCAAAAACUCAAGUGACAGCUCAUGCCGGCAAGAAUGUGGAGCAAGGGGACAUUCCUCCAGUACUGGUGGGCAAAUAAACUCAUGCAACCACUUUGAAAAUCAAUUUGGCAGUUUCUCAGAAACUGGGAAUAGUUCUACCUCAAAACCAAGCUGGUCCAAAAGAUGCCUCACCAAACCACAAGGGCACUUGCUCCAUUAUGUUCAUAGCAGCUUUGUUCAUAAUAGCCAGAGACUGGAAACAAUCUGCAUGUCCCUCAACUGAAGAAUGGUUAAAGAAAAUGUGAUUCAUUUACACAAUGAGAUGCUACUCAGCUAUUAAAAACAAAGACACCAUGAAAUUUGUAGGCAAAUGGAUGGAACUAGAAAAUAUUCUGAGUAAAGUUACCCGGACCCAGACCUGUCUCUGGCCUCUCCUGUGUUCCUAGCCAACCUCUUCCUCCUCUGUCUCUGUCUCUGUCUCUCUGCCUCUCUCUCUGCCUUUCUGUCUCUCUCUGUCUCUGUCUGUCUGUCUCUCAAUUUCUCUCUGUGUGCCCUUCUUGUCUCCUCUCUUUCUCGGCCUCUACUACCUUCUCAAUCUCCCUUCCCAUGCUCCCAAAUAAACUCUAUUUCAU